CAGUAGCCGCGGGAAUACAGAGGGUGCGAGCGUUAAUCGGAUUUACUGGGCGUAAAGCGUGCGUAGGCGGCUUCUUAAGUCGGAUGUGAAAUCCCUGAGCUUAACUUAGGAAUUGCAUUCGAUACUGGGAAGCUAGAGUAUGGGAGAGGAUGGUAGAAUUCCAGGUGUAGCGGUGAAAUGCGUAGAGAUCUGGAGGAAUACCGAUGGCGAAGGCAGCCAUCUGGCCUAAUACUGACGCUGAGGUACGAAAGCAUGGGGAGCAAACAGGAUUAGAUACCCCAGUAGUCCCUGUUUCUUAUAU
rnacentral:rRNA from 1 species